GUCUUAAAGAAUAUAUUAAUUUUAAGUCUAAUCUGCCCAAUGAAAUAAAAUUUAAAUGGCUGCAGUAUCCUGACUGUACAAAGGUAGCAUAAUAAUUUGUUUUUUAAUUAAAAACUUGAAUGAAAGAUUAAAUGAAAUAUAAACUUUUUCAAUUAAAAAUAUUAAAAUUUUUAUUUAAGUAAAAAAACUUAAAUAUUUUUUUAAGACGAUAAGACCCUAUAGAAUUUUAUUUAAUUUUAAAAUUUUUUUUUAAAAUUAAAUUUUGUUGGGGAAACAAAAAUAUUUAAUUAACUAUUUUUAAAUUAAACAUUAAUUAAUGAAUUAAAUAUCUUAAAUUUUAAAUUAUAAAAAUUAAUUACCUUAGGGAUAACAGCAUAAUUUUUUUUAAAAGACCUUAUUAAUAAAAAAGAUUGU
rnacentral:rRNA from 1 species